rnacentral:rRNA from 1 species
ACCAUUGCGGCAGUUCCAACAACAUUGCCUCCAAUACCUUCCAUUCCUGCAGUUCCGAAACUGACAAUGCCGCCAAUACCGUUCAUUCCUAUCCCGAAGGUCGCCAUGGCACCAACCGCCCCUGGCACAGUUCCAUCUCUUCCGAUCCCGGCGAUCCCAACCACCAUGCCGACCAUUCCUACUUUGCCUGUUACCAUGCCACCAAUGCCCUCAGUUCCAAUUACCAUUCCAUCCAUUCCGAUUACAACACCAACAACCAUCCCUACCAUUCCUGGGUUCCAGAUGCCACCUAUUCCAUUCAUGUCCCCACCUCCACAAACCACCAGCCCGUGA